rnacentral:piRNA from 1 species
UUAAUGCAGUUCGUUUGUGGGGC